GAUGAACGCUAGCGAUAGGCUUAACACAUGCCAGUCGAGGGGCAGCGAGGGUAGCAAUACCUGUCGGCGACCGGCGCACGGGUGAGUAACGCGUAUGUAACCUGCCCGCAACAGGGGGAUAACCCGGCGAAAGUCGGACUAAUACCGCAUAAAACAGGGGUCCCGCAUGGGAAUAUUUGUUAAAGAUUUAUCGGUUGCGGAUGGGCAUGCGUACCAUUAGGUAGUUGGUGAGGUAACGGCUCACCAAGCCUUCGAUGGUUAGGGGUUCUGAGAGGAAGGUCCCCCACACUGGUACUGAGACACGGACCAGACUCCUACGAGAGGCAGCAGUGAGGAAUAUUGGUCAAUGGGCGAGAGCCUGAACCAGCCAAGUCGCGUGAAGGAUGACUGCCCUAUGGGUUGUAAACUUCUUUUACAAGGGAAUAAAAUGAGAUACGUGUAUUUUAUUGCAUGUACCUUGGGAAUAAGCAUCGGCUAACUCCGUG
rnacentral:rRNA from 1 species